AAGGGGGCUUCUCCUCCUCCUUAGGAGCUAUGUCCACACCCUGUCGAGUCCUCUAUAUACUCAAGGGAUGAUGUCCGAAUCCUCCAACCUUAGUCCACCCUUUCCCCAGGGGCUAUAUCCGCCUCACAUCUUCCCUCCCUUCUCCGAGUGCAGUGUCUUAACCACCCUCCCCCACAUCCUUACUCUAUCCCUCUCCCUCUUAGGGUGAUGUCCCUCGACCCCCUCAGCUGUGCUGGGAUGGGGAAGGUUUCUCGCAAUAACGCUUCAAGUGAAGGAAGGCGGUGGAAGCACUUAUCUGCUAAUGCAUCUUGUCUCCUGUGGUUCAGUACCUAGAAGUGCUCACACAUUGUCACCCUCCUCUCCCUGCUCGUCUGGAGUUGGGCGCAGCUGCGCUAUGGCCCCCCCUGUCCCAGAUUUCAGCUGCAGGGCCGAGCUCAACUUUUCCUUCAUAGGCCUGAGCGUCCUUGCUCCAGUAAUGUCCUCCUCCCACCUACCCUGAUUGUACCUAUCCCUGAAGGCAGUGACGACCCCAUCCUACAGUGACUACUCCUCCC
rnacentral:lncRNA from 1 species